rnacentral:lncRNA from 1 species
ACACCUACAACCGCCACACUCAAGAAACCCCCCUCCCCUCUUCUCUUCUUCUUCUUCUUCUUCUUCUUCAAACCACCCAACCAAUUAGCCACCCACCUCUGCUUCUCCUUCACGUCCCAACAGCUACCACCCUCACCACCAUCGCCCGUCGUUUCCCCGUCACUGCCAGAACCAGCAACCACCCAACGACCCCUCAUUUUUUCAGUCAAACGCCACACCCACAGCCUCUCCAUCUCCAUCGUCAAACAACCAUGAACAACCAGACCACAACGUACAGCGUCGUCAAUCUCUAUCGUCAAAACAGCCAUUUCCGACCAGCUCCACGUCGUUCUCGUCCAGCAACCACUCGACCAAACAACCACCCUCUACCGUCCCUCAACCAAACAACCACCACUGCUUCUGCCCAUCUUCAGCCCCCGCCUCCAAUCCAAACAGCCCCGUCAUCAACUUCUCCUCCAGUAAGCAAUGAAACCAAACGACCCCAUCGGCUUCUGCUUCAGUCACCAUCUCCUUCAAACGAACACUACAGCCGCCAGUAAAACCUCAUGUCCAAACGACCCCAUCUGCUUUUGCUCCGUCACAACAGGAAAAGGGUGAAGACAACUUGGUUAUUUGGAUCUUGGACUAUGAGAAGUUCCAGCGUUGUCAAUCUCCAUCAUCAAACAGCCAUUUCCGACAAGCUCCAC